rnacentral:rRNA from 1 species
GAAGCACCGGCUAACUCUGUGCCAGCAGCCGCGGUAAUACAGAGGGUGCAAGCGUUAAUCGGAAUUACUGGGCGUAAAGCGCGCGUAGGUGGCUUGAUAAGUCGGAUGUGAAAUCCCCGGGCUUAACCUGGGAACUGCAUCUGAAACUGUCAGGCUAGAGUGCAGGAGAGGAAGGUAGAAUUCCCGGUGUAGCGGUGAAAUGCGUAGAGAUCUGGAGGAAUACCAAUGGCGAAGGCAGCCUUUUGGCAUCAUACUGACACUGAGGCUCGAAAGCGUGGGUAGCAAACAGGAUUAGAUACCCUGGUAGUCCACGCCGUAAACGAUGUCUACCAGUCGUUGGGUGCCUUGCGCACUUUGUGACGCAGUUAACGCGAUAAGUAGACCGCCUGGGGAGUACGGCCGCAAGGUUAAAACUCAAAUGAAUUGACGGGGGCCCGCACAAGCGGUGGAGCAUGUGGUUUAAUUCGAUGCAACGCGAAGAACCUUACCUACCCUUGACAUCUCCAGAAUCCGGCAGAGAUUCGGGAGUGCCUUCGGGAAUUAGAAUACAGGUGCUGCAUGGCUGUCGUCAGCUCGUGUUGUGAGAUGUUGGGUUAAGUCCCGCAACGAGCGCAACCCUUGUCCUUAUUUACCAGCGGGUUAAGUCGGGAACUCUAAGGAGACUGCCGGUGACAAACCGGAGGAAGGUGGGGACGACGUCAAGUCAUCAUGGCCCUUACGACCAGGGCUACACACGUGCUACAAUGGUCGGUACAAAGGGC